ACGUAGGGGGCAAGCGUUAUCCGGAAUUACUGGGUGUAAAGGGUGCGUAGGCGGCGAUUUAAGUCAGAUGUGAAAACUCAGGGCUCAACCUUGAGACUGCAUCUGAAACUGAGUUGCUAGAGUGCAGGAGAGGAAAGCGGAAUUCCGAGUGUAGCGGUGAAAUGCGUAGAGAUUCGGAGGAACACCAGUAGCGAAGGCGGCUUUCUGGACUGUAACUGACGCUGAGGCACGAAAGCGUGGGGAGCGAACAG
rnacentral:rRNA from 1 species